GGGUUGUGAGGUUAAGCGACUAAGCGUACACGGUGGAUGCCUAGGCAGUCAGAGGCGAUGAAGGGCGUGCUAAUCUGCGAUAAGCGUCGGUAAGCUGAUAUGAAGCGUUAUACCCGACGAUACCCGAAUGGGGAAACCCAGUGUGUUUCGACACACUAUCAUUAACUGAAUACAUAGGUUAAUGAGGCGAACCGGGGGAACUGAAACAUCUCAGUACCCCGAGGAAAAGAAAUCAACCGAGAUUCCCCCAGUAGCGGCGAGCGAACGGGGAGGAGCCCAGAACCUGAAUCAGUUUGUGUGUUAGUGGAAGCGUCUGGAAAGUCGCACAGUAAAGGGUGAUAGUCCCGUACACAAAAAUGCACAGAUUGUGAGUUCGAUGAGUAGGGCGGGACACGUGACAUCCUGUCUGAAUAUGGGGGGACCAUCCUCCAAGGCUAAAUACUCCUGACUGACCGAUAGUGAACCAGUACCGUGAGGGAAAGGCGAAAAGAACCCCGGCGAGGGGAGUGAAAUAGAACCUGAAACCGUGUACGUACAAGCAGUGGGAGCCUACUUGUUAGGUGACUGCGUACCUUUUGUAUAAUGGGUCAGCGACUUAUAUUCUGUAGCAAGGUUAACCGUAUAGGGGAGCCGCAGGGAAACCGAGUCUUAACUGGGCGUUAAGUUGCAGGGUAUAGACCCGAAACCCGGUGAUCUAGCCAUGGGCAGGUUGAAGGUUGGGUAACACUAACUGGAGGACCGAACCGACUAAUGUUGAAAAAUUAGCGGAUGACUUGUGGCUGGGGGUGAAAGGCCAAUCAAACCGGGAGAUAGCUGGUUCUCCCCGAAAGCUAUUUAGGUAGCGCCUCGUGAAUUCAUCUUCGGGGGUAGAGCACUGUUUCGGCUAGGGGGUCAUCCCGACUUACCAACCCGAUGCAAACUACGAAUACCGAAGAAUGUUAUCACGGGAGACACACGGCGGGUGCUAACGUUCGUCGUGAAGAGGGAAACAACCCAGACCGCCAGCUAAGGUCCCAAAGUCAUGGUUAAGUGGGAAACGAUGUGGGAAGGCAUAGACAGCCAGGAUGUUGGCUUAGAAGCAGCCAUCAUUUAAAGAAAGCGUAAUAGCUCACUGGUCGAGUCGGCCUGCGCGGAAGAUGUAACGGGGCUAAACCAUGCACCGAAGCUGCGGCAGCGACACUUAGGUGUUGUUGGGUAGGGGAGCGUUCUGUAAGCCGUCGAAGGUGGCCUGUGAGGGCUGCUGGAGGUAUCAGAAGUGCGAAUGCUGACAUAAGUAACGAUAAUGCGGGUGAAAAACCCGCACGCCGGAAGACCAAGGGUUCCUGUCCAACGUUAAUCGGGGCAGGGUGAGUCGACCCCUAAGGCGAGGCUGAAAAGCGUAGUCGAUGGGAAACAGGUUAAUAUUCCUGUACUCGGUGUUACUGCGAAGGGGGGACGGAGAAAGCUAGGUUAUCCGGGCGACGGUUGUCCCGGUUUAAGCGUGAAGGUGGAUGACUUUGGUAAAUCCGGGUCAUUAUUAACACUGAGGCGUGAUGACGAGUCACUACGGUGAUGAAGUAACCAAUGCUACGCUUCCAGGAAAAGCCUCUAAGCUCCAGGUAACAUCAAAUCGUACCCCAAACCGACACAGGUGGUCAGGUAGAGAAUACUCAGGCGCUUGAGAGAACUCGGGUGAAGGAACUAGGCAAAAUGGUGCCGUAACUUCGGGAGAAGGCACGCUGAUGGUAGGUGAAGUGACUUGCUCAUGGAGCUGAAAUCAGUCGAAGAUACCAGCUGGCUGCAACUGUUUAAUAAAAACACAGCACUGUGCAAACACGAAAGUGGACGUAUACGGUGUGACGCCUGCCCGGUGCCGGAAGGUUAAUUGAUGGGGUCAGCCGCAAGGCGAAGCUCUUGAUCGAAGCCCCGGUAAACGGCGGCCGUAACUAUAACGGUCCUAAGGUAGCGAAAUUCCUUGUCGGGUAAGUUCCGACCUGCACGAAUGGCGUAAUGAUGGCCAGGCUGUCUCCACCCGAGACUCAGUGAAAUUGAACUCGCUGUGAAGAUGCAGUGUACCCGCGGCAAGACGGAAAGACCCCGUGAACCUUUACUAUAGCUUGACACUGAACCUUGAGCCUUGAUGUGUAGGAUAGGUGGGAGGCUUUGAAGCGUGGACGCCAGUCUGCGUGGAGCCAACCUUGAAAUACCACCCUUUAAUGUUUGAUGUUCUAACGUGGACCCGUGAUCCGGGUUGCGGACAGUGUCUGGUGGGUAGUUUGACUGGGGCGGUCUCCUCCCAAAGCGUAACGGAGGAGCACGAAGGUUAGCUAAUCCUGGUCGGACAUCAGGAGGUUAGUGCAAAGGCAUAAGCUAGCUUGACUGCGAGAGUGACAGCUCGAGCAGGUGCGAAAGCAGGUCUUAGUGAUCCGGUGGUUCUGAAUGGAAGGGCCAUCGCUCAACGGAUAAAAGGUACUCCGGGGAUAACAGGCUGAUACCGCCCAAGAGUUCAUAUCGACGGCGGUGUUUGGCACCUCGAUGUCGGCUCAUCACAUCCUGGGGCUGAAGUAGGUCCCAAGGGUAUGGCUGUUCGCCAUUUAAAGUGGUACGCGAGCUGGGUUUAGAACGUCGUGAGACAGUUCGGUCCCUAUCUGCCGUGGGCGUUGGAAGAUUGAGAGGGGUUGCUCCUAGUACGAGAGGACCGGAGUGAACGCACCACUGGUGUACGGGUUGUGAUGCCAAUUGCAUUGCCCGGUAGCUAAGUGCGGAAGAGAUAACCGCUGAAAGCAUCUAAGCGGGAAACUUGCCUCGAGAUGAGUCUUCCCUGGGCACUAGAUGCCCCUGAAGGGCCGUUGAAGACGACGACGUAGAUAGGCUGGGUGUGUAAGCGUAGCGAUACGUUGAGCUAACCAGUACUAAUGACCCGAGAGGCUUAACCUUACAACACCGAAGGUGUUU
rnacentral:rRNA from 1 species